GAGCUUACCUGGCAGUGGUGAUUCCAUGAUCAGGAAGAUGGUUUCCCAGGGUGAGACUCACCCAUUGUACUCCAGGCGUGCUGACCCCUGCGAUUUCCCCAAAUAUUGGAAAUUCGACUGUGUAAUUAGUGAUUGUGAGGGACUGCGUACGCACUUUCCCCUG